rnacentral:rRNA from 2 species
UGGGGAAUAUUGCACAAUGGGCGCAAGCCUGAUGCAGCCAUGCCGCGUGUAUGAAGAAGGCCUUCGGGUUGUAAAGUACUUUCAGCGGGGAGGAAGGGAGUAAAGUUAAUACCUUUGCUCAUUGACGUUAACCGCAGAAGAAGCACCGGCUAACUCCGUGCCAGCAGCCGCGGUAAUACGGAGGGUGCAAGCGUUAAUCGGAAUUACUGGGCGUAAAGCGCACGCAGGCGGUUUGUUAAGUCAGAUGUGAAAUCCCCGGGCUCAACCUGGGAACUGCAUCUGAUACUGGCAAGCUUGAGUCUCGUAGAGGGGGGUAGAAUUCCAGGUGUAGCGGUGAAAUGCGUAGAGAUCUGGAGGAAUACCGGUGGCGAAGGCGGCCCCCUGGACGAAGACUGACGCUCAGGUGCGAAAGCGUGGGGAGCAAACAGG